rnacentral:rRNA from 1 species
UACAGAGGGUGCGAGCGUUAAUCGGAUUUACUGGGCGUAAAGCGUGCGUAGACGGUUAUUUAAGUCGGAUGUGAAAGCCCCGGGCUCAACCUGGGAAUUGCAUUCGAGACUGAAUAGCUAGGGUACGGUAGAGGGAAGUGGAAUUUCCGGUGUAGCGGUGAAAUGCGUAGAUAUCGGAAGGAACAUCAGUGGCGAAAGCGACUUCCUGGACCAGUACCGACGUUCAGGCACGAAAGCGUGGGGAGCAAACAGG